GACGAACGCUGGCGGCGUGCCUAAUACAUGCAAGUCGAGCGCAGGAAAUCAUCCGAACCCUUCGGGGGGACGUUGAUGGAAUGAGCGGCGGACGGGUGAGUAACACGUAAAGAACCUGCCCUCAGGUCUGGGAUAACCACGAGAAAUCGGGGCUAAUACCGGAUGGGUCAUCGGACCGCAUGGUCCGAGGAUGAAAGGCGCUUCGGCGGCGCCGGGGGGUGGCUUUGCGGUGCAUUAGCUAGUUGGUGGGGGAAUGGCCCACAAAGGCGACGAUGCAUAGCCGACCUGAGAGGGUGAUCGGCCACACUGGGACUGAGACACGGCCCAGACUCCUACGGGAGGCAGCAGUAGGGAAUCUUCCACAAUGGACGAAAGUCUGAUGGAGCAACGCCGCGUGAACGAUGAAGGCCUUCGGGUCGUAAAGUUCUGUUGUAAGGGAAGAACAAGUGCCGCAGGCAAUGGCGGCACCUUGACGGUACCUUGCGAGAAAGCCACGGCUAACUACGUGCCAGCCGCCGCCGUAACAC
rnacentral:rRNA from 1 species